rnacentral:rRNA from 1 species
AGUGAACGCUGGCGGCGUGCCUAAUACAUGCAAGUCGAACGGCGAUUAAGUAUCUGGCUAUUUGAUCUUAGUGGCGCACGGGUGAGUAAUAUAUAGCUAACUUGCCCAGUACUAAGUGACAACAGUUGGAAACGACUGCUAAUACCUUAUACUUCGGAUCGAUAUAAGUAGAUACGGGAAAGUUGUUCGGUAAUGGAUAGGGCUAUAUCGUAUCAGCUAGUUGGUAAGGUAAUGGCUUACCAAGGCUAUGACGCGUAACUUGUCUGAGAGGAUGAUCAGUCACACUGGAACUGAGGCACGGUCCAGACUCCUACGGGAGGCAGCAGUAGGGAAUAUUGCUCAAUGGGGGAAACCCUGAAGCAGCAACGCCGCGUGGAGGAUGACACUUUUCGGAGCGUAAACUCCUUUUCUUGGGAAAGAAUUAUGACGGUACCCAAGGAAUAAGCACCGGCUAACUCCGUG